rnacentral:rRNA from 1 species
CAGGCCUAACACAUGCAAGUCGAGGGGCAGCACGAAGUAAGCUUGCUUACUUUGGUGGCGACCGGCGCACGGGUGCGUAACAGGUGUGCAAUCUGUCCAUAAUCGGGGAAUAGCCCAGCGAAAGUUGGAUUAAUGCUCCAUGUGAGUUUUAGAGGCAUCUCUUUAAUUUGAAACGUAAGGAUUAUGGGUGAGCACGCUUCUGAUUAGGUAGUUGGUGAGGUAACGGCUCACCAAGCCGACGAUCAGUAGGGGUUCUGAGAGGAAGGUCCCCCACAUUGGAACUGAGACACGGUCCAAACUCCUACGGGAGGCAGCAGUGAGGAAUAUUGGUCAAUGGGCGCAAGCCUGAACCAGCCAAGUCGCGUGAAGGAUGAAGGUUCUAUGGAUUGUAAACUUCUUUUGUCUGAGGGUAAAAAAGCGGACGUGUCCGUUCUUGCAAGUAUCAGACGAAUAAGCAUCGGCUAACUCCGUGCCAGCAGCCGCGGUAAUACGGAGGAUGCGAGCGUUAUCCGGAUUUAUUGGGUUUAAAGGGUGCGUAGGCGGGUUGCUAAGUCAGUGGUAAAAGCGUGUGGCUCAACCAUACCAAGCCAUUGAAACUGGCGAUCUUGAGUGUAAACGAGGUAGGCGGAAUGUGACGUGUAGCGGUGAAAUGCUUAGAUAUGUCACAGAACCCCGAUUGCGAAGGCAGCUUACCAGCAUACAACUGACGCUGAGGCACGAAAGCGUGGGUAUCAAACAGGAUUAGAUACCCUGGUAGUCCACGCAGUAAACGAUGAAUACUAGCUGUUGCGAUAUAAUGUCAGCGGUAAAGCGAAAGUGUUAAGUAUUCCACCUGGGGAGUACGCCGGCACGGUGAAACUCAAGGAAUUGACGGGGGCUCGCACAAGCGAAGAACAUGUGGUUUAAUUCGAUGAUACGCGAGGAACUUUACCC